rnacentral:rRNA from 1 species
AUUGAACGCUGGCGGCAGGCUUAACACAUGCAAGUCGAGCGGGGGAAGGUAGCUUGCUACUGGACCUAGCGGCGGACGGGUGAGUAAUGCUUAGGAAUCUGCCUAUUAGUGGGGGACAACAUCUCGAAAGGGAUGCUAAUACCGCAUACGUCCUACGGGAGAAAGCAGGGGAUCUUCGGACCUUGCGCUAAUAGAUGAGCCUAAGUCGGAUUAGCUAGUUGGUGGGGUAAAGGCCUACCAAGGCGACGAUCUGUAGCGGGUCUGAGAGGAUGAUCCGCCACACUGGGACUGGAACACGGCCCAGACUCCUACGGGAGGCAGCAGUGGGGAAUAUUGGACAAUGAGGGGAACCCUGAUCCAGCCAUGCCGCGUGUGUGAAGAAGGCCUUAUGGUUGUAAAGCACUUUAAGCGAGGAGGAGGCUACUCUAGUUAAUACCUAGGGAUAGUGGACGUUACUCGCAGAAUAAGCACCGGCUAACUCUGUGCCAGCAGCCGCGGUAA